AGAUUAAGUUAUUAAGGGCGCACGGUGGAUGCCUUGGCACUAGAAGCCGAUGAAGGACGUUACUAACGACGAUAUGCUUUGGGGAGCUGUAAGUAAGCUUUGAUCCAGAGAUUUCCGAAUGGGGAAACCCAGCAUGAGUUAUGUCAUGUUAUCGAUAUGUGAAUACAUAGCAUAUCAGAAGGCACACCCGGAGAACUGAAACAUCUUAGUACCCGGAGGAAGAGAAAGAAAAUUCGAUUCCCUUAGUAGCGGCGAGCGAAACGGGAAGAGCCCAAACCAACAAGCUUGCUUGUUGGGGUUGUAGGACACUCUAUACGGAGUUACAAAGGACGACAUUAGACGAAUCAUCUGGAAAGAUGAAUCAAAGAAGGUAAUA
rnacentral:rRNA from 1 species